rnacentral:rRNA from 1 species
CCUACGGGGGGCAGCAGUUGGGAAUAUUGGACAAUGGAGGAAACUCUGAUCCAGUGACGCCGCGUGAAGGAAGAAGGUCUUCGGAUUGUAAACUUAUUUUAUCAGGGAAGAAAAAAAUGACUGUACCUGAAGAAGAAGCACCGGCUAACUACGUGCCAGCAGCCGCGGUAAUACGUAGGGUGCAAGCGUUGUCCGGAAUUACUGGGCGUAAAGGGCGCGUAGGUGGGCGCUUAAGUCAGGUGUGAAAACUCCGGGCUCAACCUGGAGACUGCACUUGAAACUGGGUGUCUUGAGGGCAGGAGAGG